AAUCUUAAAAUAGCACGUUCGUAUUUAGUUGAAUUUUGAUAGUAAACUGUUACAUUUUUUCACAAACUUUAAUGCAUAUCAAUCUAUAAUAAUCAUACUACAAUUUGUCGUUUUAACAUUUUCGAAAAUGUAGCUUGGUUAUUUUAGACAUUAUUUUGUUUAAAAUUGGGCCGCUGCGCGCCCUGUUUUGAAUCAUACGCAACGUACACCGGCCGAAAGUUCAGUCGUCCACGAGAGCUCGGAGAGUGGUCACGUCUCAUCGGGAAGCGACGCGCCGAUUACGAUACUUCGCGAUCUAUUGUGUACUUAUACCUUGCCAAACGCAAACGCAAACUGUUGAAUAAGUGAAAUGGGAAAGCUUAAGGAAAAAUAUUAUAAGAAGAAAGUUGGCGCUAAUUUACGAAAAA